AGAGAAGGAAGCAAGAAGACCAUUGCUCACCCCUGACUCUCCAGCAGUGUUCCCAGCAGUGCUCCUAGCAGUGCUCCCGGCAGGAAGGAUGAAGGAGAACAUCCUCUUCCCUGCCUUUAGCAGCUGACUCCUGGUGCUACGGCUUGGCCUCUUCUGUCUCUCUUCUUUGUUGGCAGUGAGAUGUUCCCACCACUCCAGCUUGGGGGACAGCAAGGGAGAGGCAGGCCACCUGCUCUGAGGUGCUGUCUUCCAUGGCCUUGUCUGUCUACCCUAGUACCCACAUAUCAACCCAUUCAACCUGGUUUACAAAGCAAUGAGUGGACUCCUGAAACUGAACAGCUUGUCCCUAUCAAUGCCCUCUAAAGGAAAGAGUCUGAUUUAGUGGAUUUAUCGAGAAGGGUCUGGGACAGAGUUUCCAAGUUCCAGGUGGCUUAUUUCCACGGUGGGCAUCAGCAAAGCUAACUUCCACCCCAGUAAUUCCACCU